GACGUAGGUGACGAGCGUUAUCCGGAAUUACUGGGCGUAAAGCGCGUGCAGGCGGCUUCGCAAGUCGGGCAUGAAAUCUCUCGGCCUAACCGAGAGACGCUGUCCGAUACUGCGGAGCUUGAGGGCAGUAAAAGGUGGCGGAAUUCCGCAUGUAGUGGUGAAAUGCGUAGAGAUGCGGAGGAACACCAGUGGCGAAGGCGGCCACCUAGGCUGUCCCUGACGCUGAAGCGCGAAAGCUAGGGUAGCGAACGGG
rnacentral:rRNA from 1 species